UUCCACAAAACUCUGGAAAUC
rnacentral:piRNA from 1 species